rnacentral:rRNA from 1 species
CCUACGGGAGGCAGCAGUGAGGAAUAUUGGUCAAUGGGCGGAAGCCUGAACCAGCCAAGCCGCGUGAGGGAAGAAGGUACAGCGUAUCGUAAACCUCUUUUGUCAGGGACCAAAGGCGGGGACUAGUCCCCGGAUGAGGGUACCUGAAGAAAAAGCAUCGGCUAACUCCGUGCCAGCAGCCGCGGUAAUACGGAGGAUGCGAGGUUUAUCCGGAUUUAGUGGGUUUAAAGGGUGCGCAGGCGGCCGGUUAAGUCAGAGGUAAAAGCCCGGGGCUCAACCCCGGCGAGCCGUUGAAACUGGGGAGCUGGAGUGAGAGAGAAGUACGCGGAAUGCGCGGUGUAGCGGUGAAAUGCUUAGAUAUCGCGCAGAACCCCGAUUGCGAAGGCAGCGUACCGGCUCCACACUGACGCUGAGGCACGAAAGCGUGGGUAUCGAACAGGAUUAGAUACCCCUGUAGUC